GUCAGAUGAUUUAAAUUGUUACGCUGAUGCUCUGUGAGGUGUGACAGGGAUAGCAUGUUAGAGUUCUGAUGGCA
ensembl:snoRNA SNORD28 Small nucleolar RNA SNORD28